AGAGUUUGAUCCUGGCUCAGGAUGAACGCUGGCGGCGUGCUUAACACAUGCAAGUCGAACGGACUGAGGGAGCUUGCUCCCAAAGUUAGUGGCGGACGGGUGAGUAACGCGUGGGUAACCUGCCCUAUGCAGGGGGAUAACGUUUGGAAACGAACGCUAAUACCGCAUAACCUAGUUGGUUCGCAUGAACCAAUUAGCAAAGAUUUAUCGGCAUAGGAUGGACCCGCGUUGGAUUAGCUAGUUGGUGAGAUAACAGCCCACCAAGGCGACGAUCCAUAG
rnacentral:rRNA from 1 species